ensembl:lncRNA
GAAAGGUGUGUCCAAACCUUUGACUGGUAGUGUAGUUAGUUUUUCUGGAACAUGUUGCUGCUUAGGAAAGCUCCCUCAGUGCUGUUCUUUAAUGGAAGGACGCUGCAUCUUCAGUCUACACAUUGUGAACACAGUCCCUUUCUCAUGAAAUCACUUAUCUGGCCUCUUUUCCUUGGCAGUUGAUAUUCCCUGUGUGUUCUAUGGUAGGGCUACUUCUUCUCACCCCUGUGUGAGUGUAUGUCCAGGACAACAAUAAGUGGCCAAGCACAGACAAGCUUUUCUAUUGUGGUGAGAUGUUGGUUGUCAGUGACAGGUUUCUUUACUGCUGUUUGUAUUUAUUCUCACUCUCUGGCUCUUUGGUCAUUUUGCAAUUUCACUCUGCAGGAGUCCGUCUUUCUCUCUCCAUCUCUGUCUACUACUCUGUGAGCUUUGUAAUUGUUUGCACUGCAUGCGAAUGACACUCGCUGGUAGAAAAUAUUUUUUUGGCUGACAUAUCUAGGCCAAUUGAGGAUGCUGCCACAGCAGUAACAAGCAUUCCCAGGCCAGAACACAACUGGGGGAAGAAAUGCAAUGAAUGUUAAUCAAAGAGAGAGUUGCAGAACGGAAAGUUGAUGUUAUGAUCCCUGCUCCUGCCCCUGUUUUCUCCACACCUUGUCCCUAUCUUCCUCCUCCUUCCUGUGUCUGGCAUUUCUCUCCCUCUUCUCUCUCUCUUGGCUCUCCCUCCUGUCUCUCUCUCUCUCACUCACCCUCUUGCUCUCCCUGUCUGUCCUGCACUGUUGAUUGCUGUAAUGAAAGGCAGCUGCGGCAAUCAGUUCACCCAGUUCACCUGUUCGUAAUCACACCUCACUCAAUCACUCACCCUGCCAGACCAUAGCCUGCAAUAGCUACUCAUGGAUUUAGCACUCUCCUGGUAAUCCUAAUCUGUUUCCAGUCUUCUGUUCCCGGUCUUCUGUUUUCAGUUUUGUUCACCAAGUCGUUCUUGCCUGCCUUAUCUGCUGCCAGACCUGCUCCAACUUUACUCACCUGGGCUCUGGGCUUCCCCCUUUUUGUUUUCAGUUCCAUAUUCUUGUGAGUACCCUGUUUGGUAGUUUUGUUAAUUCUGUUUCAGUUUUGUAAGUUUCUACUUUUUAGUUAGCUGUGAAUUUUUGUAGCAUUUGGUUUAGUGUCCUCCUUAAUCCAGUUUCCCUUCUUGUAUUGUCCCAGCUCUGGUUUUGUUUAAUAAACCCCCUUUUCAAAAUAUUACUUGUCAGCCCAUUAUCUGUGCCUGCGCCUGGGUUCACCCCACAAACAAUGUAAGGACUGGAAUGACUUAUGGCCACAGUUGGUGUCUUGGCACAAGGGUUGGAUGAUAUGCGGCAUCAUAAAAAGUUUAUCCUUGGAUCAGAAUCUUGCUUAUUUAGCUGUGACAGAGGAAGAUGAAUAAAGCAAGAGGGCCUUGUGGGGGGUGAGGUUGCCACUAUAUCUACUAUGAGGUAUACUUUAAAAAAACAAGAAAUGCACAGUAAUUCAACUUGCUAUGAAACUGCUUUUUUUUUUUUUGGAUAAUAUGUGGUAGAAGAAUUCAGGAAAAGGUGUUUCUGUGGGUUCCCCAUCAAAUUGAACAAGAGUGGCUUCAUGUUACUGACAUGUUAAUGACAAGUGUAGGAGCUAGAAAGUGUUAGACUUGGAGCCUUUAUAUGCGGUUGACUAAAGCUCUAUAUUUACCACACCACUUCCUGGAUGCAGUUAAUGAAUCAACCAGGAAUCAACCCCAGGUCAGCUGCUAGGAAAAGGAAUAGUGGUCAAAUUUAAGUCAAUCACAGAUUUUGCUCCUCAUUGCCACACUGUCUGAAUGUCUUGAUUGCACCUUGUAUUCAUAAGGGCUUUCAGUUUUCAGCAGAAGACAUUAAACACGUAAAGCUCAGAUUUCUGUGGAUUUGACCACUAGCGUAAUGCAAUCAGUUCAACUUUAGGUUACACCAUUUCACUACUGCAGCAUAUACUUAGCAAAAUACAUCACAUUUUCCACAAAUAGAAAUUUUGAAACUUUUUCCAGUUUCCUUACCUACAUAUUAUGACCAAUGUCUUCAUCAAAGGAAGUGUAGUGCUUUAAUGUGAGAAUAUAUCACAGGUGUCACAUGCUGUUUUUUGCAGUUUACUUAAAUGUGAGUCCACCACAUUCUACCACUGCACAAUAGUGUCCUCACCUGUGGCUGUACCGUGUGGUACGCCAGCUGCACUGCAUCUGAAACUGCAGCGGGUAUCAAGAUGGCUUGGUGGAUCAUUGGCUCUCCACUUCCAUGCCUAGAGGAAAUCUAUUUCAGCCAUCUCUUCUGAUGGGCCACAAAGAUCCAGAAUGACACAACCUUCCCUCUGGCAGACUUAGUCAUGAGAGCCCACACCAACAGACUGAGAUACACCUUCUUCCCCAUGGCUGUGGAGAGACUGCUGCAAGAACCUCUGAUAGACACAUAACGUGUGUAUGUGUCUUUCUUAUCAUUCAGAGCUCAUACGGACAAACAGCUACCAACACUCUGACCUCCUGUUAUAUUCACAUGAAGACAUUUAAGAUUUAGACAGAAAUGUUGACAAAAACAAGAGGGGGAAAAAAAGAUGUAAAAAAUAAUUUGACAACUUUAUAUUUUUGUAACAUUUCUACUUUCUACCUCACUAUGAGAAUCUGAAUGCUGCAAAUUUUUCCAUUGUUCAGUGAGCUGCUAACUUUGACUAUUGGACAUCUAACAGUGAUCAGAUGGUAUACUCUGGAUUUACUGGAGCCAAUAACAUGUAAGUCCUGAAAUGUUAUUGCCUGCUCUGCACUAUAUAAAGGAUACAGUGCUACUGUUGUGUCUGCAACAGGCUCCAAUAAAUUAACAUGUAUUACAUGCAGUCAGUGUAAUGUAAAUAAGGUUCUACUUGGAUGAUAGUAAUUUCUGCAGUUUUAUUUAGUUUUUUAGUUUUACUUUGUGAUGGUUGCAUUUAUUAUUUCAAUAUACUGUCAUCCGUGUGAUCGCAUGUUAAGUGUCUUUGAUCGCCUGGCCCCCUGUACUGGAUCCCAGCAAAACUCGUCAAAUGCAGGUGUCCAUGUGCUCUUCAUAGCGCACUGCCACUCUAAUCACCCUUUUCCCCCCUCAAGAGUGAUUGUCAGCACACAACCAGGGCACACUGGUGUCAAUCACUGCUGUGUAACUCGGCAUGGGGUUCAGUGUCAAUGAUCUAGCUUUACUAACACUGCAGUAUUAGACUAGUUUGUAGUAGUAUAUGCAUAGUUUAGUGUCCCAAAUGCUUUCUAACAGCCCCAUAUCAUGUAGCUACUAAACUGUAGUUUUUUAGUUAUUAGAUACUAGUUAGAGAGUCACACCUGAAUUGACAGGAUGUGCCAGUGCGGGAGAGCCGAGCCAAGGGUAAGGGGGCUAUGCAUGUCUCACCAAAUGUUCGUGUACUUACCCGGAUGGUGUACAGAUCACACGGGACUUAAAUGGCACUGGAUGAAUGAUCGGGCUAGGUGUAGGGCAACCGAACCUAGUUGAAUCCCAUACAGUAAUAUGUGCACAAUUUGAUUAGGGGGGUAAAAGGAUAGCCCCUCGGCCUUAAUCAAGAGACAUCAUGGCAGAAGCGAAUGUGAUAUCUGCCAAUCGGAAAACAAAUUGGAGCUUGUGUUGCCUUUGCCAGAAGGACAAAAGAGGUGAGGGCCUGACAUCCACUCCGAGUCAUCAUGCCCCAGAACAUGAUGGAUACAAAAUGCUGGCAAGGAACAUUCCCAUGUUCAGUGAAAUCAAUGACAUGCCAUUGAGAAUAGAUCCAGCGAGGCUGGAUGAAGGUGAUGGCAUAGAAGCCACACUCAGGAAAAAUAUGGCAAAAUACCAUCUGAGCUGUCGCUUGUUGUUCAACAACAUUAAAUUGCAAUGGGCACAAAAGCGCCAUUCCAGUAGUCAAACCAGUGAAACUGAGACUGGAGCUUGUUAGUCAAAACUGCGGCGAAAAAGUCAUGACAGUCAGACAUGCAUUUUCUGUGAAAAAGUGGCACCUGCAUCAGACCUCAGAGAGGCCAGUACAACAGGCCUAGACAAGAGGCUGCGCGACAUUGCAGAGAUGCUUGGUGAUGGUAAGCUUCUUGCAAGAUUGACUGGUGGUGAUGUCAUUUCAGGAAGAUGUAGGCAAAGCGCUUGCUCAAUCCACAGAUCUUUCAGAUGCACUUAUCAUUGCUAAAGCAGCAAAGAUCCUCAGAAGAUGUAUACUUGACCACAAGUGUAGAUUUGAAGGUACAUUUGCUGAGGGUUGUGUGCAAAAUGCUAUACCUCCCCUUCUGCUUCAAUUUGUGGGGAUGGUUGAGCAUGGUGCUGACAUAAAAUCACAGCUGAGAUUCGGGGCAUCAAAGUCAGACCAGGCAAUUGCUCAACUCAUGCAAUUCAACUGCUACUCCCGCUACAAGGAAGGAGCAGCAACUCACAGGCAUUCCAAAGACAGAGAGACCCCAUUUCCCGUGUACAUGGGGCUCUCUGUUUAUGCCAAAACCAGAAAGAGGAAUCUGGUUGAGAUGUUCGAUCGUGGUCUCAGUAUCUCUUAUGACAGAGUGCUGGAGAUCUCUGCUCAACUUGGAGAUGCAACAGUCAGCAAGUAUGUUGAGGAGGGUGUGGUCUGUCCUCCAGUGCUGCGGAAAGGGUUGUUCACUACUGCAGUGAUGGAUAACAUUGAUCACAAUCCCUCUGCAACAACUGCAACUACCUCCUUUCAUGGCACAAGUAUCUCUCUGUUCCAACAUCCCACAAAGGAUAAUAGUGGACAGGAACGAGGGCAACUCAGGUUUGGGCCUGAGAAAGUGAAGUCAGUACCUGAACUUCCUGAUACAUUCACAAAUAUCUCUCCAGCUUCCUUCUGGACAACAAAUCCUGUUCCACCAGGUACUGCAAUGCCAAAACCACCCACAGAUAUUCUGGGGCCACAACUGGCACUAGAGUACCAGUGGCUGGACAAGGUCUUAGUGACACAAGAAGUUGAUGAUGCAUUGAACCUAACAUGGUCAGCACAUCAUGCUUCAAUGAAGAGAAGCCCUGAAUUUGAAGUUACCAUUACUUCUUUGCUUCCUCUCCUGCCGGAUCCAGCUCAUUCAGUUGCUACAGUCAAACAUGUAAUGAACAACUUAGAGGUCUUCUUUGUUUAAAUUUUGAAUGACAUGGUAGAUUGUGGGAAACAGUUCAUGAUCACAAUCCCAUGAUUUAAAGUUCAUUUAAAUGGAAAAAGCAUGUUUAUUUCAACAGAUAUAUGGUCUCGGUGUGAGAUUGCCAGAUACUGAUGGCGGCCAUCUUGAAAAAAGGUCACCAUCUUGAAUUUUCACGUGGCCAGGACCCUAAUCUGAAAGAGUAUAUCCAGGAGGGUAUCUGUGCAAAAUUUCAUGCUUGUGUCACCACUUGAAGGAUUUUUUUAGUUAUCUGCUCCACUAUCAUGGCCUAUUUAACCUGAAGCUCUAUGGGCAAUAUUUAACAAGCCUCCAGUGUUCAGGAUAGCGGGAGGUGUCAUCAUAAGUGCUGAUCAACCACCCAGCUGUAAUAAGGAAAUGCAAUACCACACUGUAAGCUUGUUCACUUCUUGAAAGUGUUACAUGCAUUGUGGUUAACACACACAAAACUGUCAGGACUGCGUCUGCAGGCUCUGGCUAGGCCCCUCCCUCCUCCUUUGUUUUCUUUUUAGGUAUUCUGAGUGCUGUGCAGCAGUGGCAGGUGAAGGCGAUCUCUUCAUCACCAGCUGUGCCAGGGCCUAUCAGUCACUCACCUCUCCUCCUUUAUAUUGGGACUCCAGUCAGCAAUACGACGCCGGAUCGGGAAUGCAUACAUCCGGACCCCCGUCUGCUUCCGUGAAUAACCUAACAAGAUCGCCGAAUUCUGACAGUUCCCUGGAUUCCCUCCGCCAUCCGUUCCGCUCUAGCGAGCAGUAGUUGCUCUAGCUAUAAUUCUUCUGAGUCUUCCUAGCGAGCAGUAGUUGCUCUAGCUAUAGUUCUUCUGAGUCUUUCUAGCGAGCAGUAGUUGCUCUAGCUAUAGUUCUUCUGAGUCUUCCUAGCGAGCAGUAGUUGCUCUAGCUAUAGUUCUUCUGAGUCUUUCUAGCGAGCAGUAGUUGCUCUAGCUAUAGUUCUUCUGAGUCUUUCUAGUGAGCAGUAGUUGCUCUUCCACUACAGUUCUGCUGAGUUUUUAGUGAAUAGUUGUAGCUCCUUAGCCUUGGCUCUCUUGAGUUCUCUAGUGAGCAUUAGUUGCUCUUGUAGCAGUUUUUUGAGUGUUUCUAGGGAGCGUAGUCGCUCUUUUGUUACAGUUCUUCUGGGUCUUUCUAGUAAGUAAUAGUUGUACGUUGCAUUUGUUUCAGCUCCAGGCUUGUGUAGCCAAACUAUAGCCUGUGGAAUUAGUUGCUUUUCAGGAGCUAGGCUUCCCUGCCCAGGUUGUGCCUGCUGUGGGUUAGUCACUGGUGUUUAGUUGCUGUACUUGUUCUGCCUAUUAUUAGAGGAGUUCUAGCUCUUAGUGAUUUUGCUUUCUACAUCUGUCUUCCCUUAGGUUCUCGUUAAUUGGAAAACAUAUUUCCUGUAUCUUCAGUUUUUGUAAAAUAAAUCAUUGUUUCCCAUCUGUCUGCCUCCCUCUCUGUUCCUGCACCUGAGCUCUGAAGGAAAAAACUUAACACAAAACAUAUUUUACAUGACUGACAAGGAUCAGCUGUGGCUAGAUAAAAUAGAGAGAGACAAUGUAUUAAAUUAUCA